rnacentral:rRNA from 1 species
UACGAAGGGGGCUAGCGUUGUUCGGAAUUACUGGGCGUAAAGCGCGCGCAGGCGGCUAUCCAAGUCAGUGGUGAAAGCCCGGAGCUCAACUCCGGAACUGCCAUUGAAACUGUUUAGCUUGAGGACGAGAGAGGUGAGUGGAAUUCCCAGUGUAGAGGUGAAAUUCGUAGAUAUUGGGAAGAACACCGGUGGCGAAGGCGGCUCACUGGCUCGUAUCUGACGCUCAGGCGCGACAGCGUAGGGAUCAAACAGG